rnacentral:lncRNA from 1 species
CGUUGUGCGAAUCCAUUCGCUUAGCGAGUCUGCAUAAUUCUACAACACAAAUUCUGCAGAAUUAUGCAACUCAAACCCCAUUUACCAAUUUUAACUAUUUUUUCCAACUUCUAACCAUCCUAAUUCGUGUUAUAUGCCUAAUUAGACUUAAGUAAGUGUUUCUAAACCUUUCUAACAUCAAUUUAAAGUGUUUAUGAACCAAUUCCCUCUUCAAAACUCCAAGUUUCUCAACCUAGGGACCCAAAUCUCAUUCUACUACUUUUGACAUGUUUUUGAUCAACUUAAAGGCUCAACCCAGUCCUAUUUGACUUACCAAGACCCUCCCCCACAUACCAAAUGCACACUAAACCCCAAAU